rnacentral:rRNA from 1 species
CCUACGGGAGGCAGCAGUGGGGAAUAUUGGUCAAUGGGCGCAAGCCUGACCCAGCAACGCCGCGUGAAGGAUGAAGGUUUUCGGAUUGUAAACUCCUGUUGCGAGGGACGAAGAAUGACGGUACCUCGUAAGAAAGCCCCGGCUAACCACGUGCCAGCAGCCGCGGUAAUACGGAGGGGGCAAGCGUUGUCCGGAAUGACUGGGCGUAAAGGGAGUGUAGGCGGCAUGGGAAGUUAGAUGUGAAAACCUACGGCUGAAACGUAGAACUGCAUCUAAACCUGUGAGGGUGGAGUGGAGGAGAGGUAGGUGGAAUGCGUAGGGUAGCGGUGGAAUGCGUAGAGAUUAGGAGGAACACCAAUGGCGAAGGCGACACACUGGACUGUAACUGACGCUGAGGCUCGAAAGCGUGGGGAGCAAACAGGAUUAGAUACCCCAGUAGUC